GACGAACGCUGGCGGCGUGCUUAACACAUGCAAGUCGAACGGAAAGGCCCUGCUUUUGUGGGGUGCUCGAGUGGCGAACGGGUGAGUAACACGUGAGUAACCUGCCCUUGACUUUGGGAUAACUUCAGGAAACUGGGGCUAAUACCGGAUAGGAGCUCCUGCUGCAUGGUGGGGGUUGGAAAGUUUCGGCGGUUGGGGAUGGACUCGCGGCUUAUCAGCUUGUUGGUGGGGUAGUGGCUUACCAAGGCUUUGACGGGUAGCCGGCCUGAGAGGGUGACCGGCCACAUUGGGACUGAGAUACGGCCCAGACGCCUACGGGAGGCAGCAGGGGGGAAUAUUGUACAAUGGGCGGAAGCCUGAUGCAGCAACGCCGCGUGCGGGAUGACGGCCUUCGGGUUGUAAACCGCUUUCGCCUGUGACGAAGCGUGAGUGACGGUAAUGGGUAAAGAAGCACCGGCUAACUACGUG
rnacentral:rRNA from 1 species